GGUCGCUGUGGGUAGAGGAAGAACGUCGCCGCUCUGGCUCUGCUGCUUGACUUUUGUCACGAUAGGGCACAAUGCCUGUUGUGAACAGGGGAGUAAGAUCUGAGAGAAAUUGAUUCUCCAAACAAACUUUUCAGAGGCGUAGCAAUAGCAUCAUUUGAGCUAUUUUUUUUUUUUUAAUCGGGAAUCUGUUCUCCCCUUUUGAUUCCUCUACAGAAGUUCGGAUCAGCUGUGAAAUAAGACGACAUUUGGACUUCCUGAAGGUAGGAUCAAAAAAUGUCACUUGUUGGUUUCUUGUUGUAAGUACUUAAAGAACGUUUUUGUCCUAUUCUCAACUUCCAGGAGAGGGUCCUUUCCCUUCACAUUAACAAGGAGUCAGGACGUGAGGCCUGCACCUGUCUUCACAUUUCUGGGAGAAGUGACUGAAGUUCAGACAGUGAACAAGUAACUGAGAACAAGCAUCAGAUAAACCCAGAAGCUGUGCUGCACCUUUGGGAAGACAUUCUGAUGCACUGAAAGACUUCACUCAUUGGUGUACCUAGAGAAGCUUUCCCUAUGGUGCAAUCUCAUGCCAGCAUACUAUUUAGCAGCG
rnacentral:lncRNA from 1 species